ensembl:ncRNA F59D12.10 ncRNA
AAGGUACCGCCGGUUACGUAUGCCCUUUUGCGGUGAGGCAUGAACUUUACUUUCCACUUGUCGCCUUCAGUUUUUCAAUGAGAUGUAAAUAUGAAAUUGAAAAAAUAAUAUAUAAAUUUGAACGCGCGAAAUAUAAAACU